UGGGAUGUAACAAAGAACACCCGUGC
rnacentral:piRNA from 1 species